CCCCAUAUAUGAAGAUCAGAAGAAAAGCUGAAACCAGUUGUAAAAGAGAGUGACACUGUUUGAAAUUUUUCUUUAAAUUCAUCCUUAUGCGAUUACAAAGAAAGGUAACAAUUUCAGAAGAGGUGGGGAGAGGUUCCUACAAAGAGACAAACAAAUGUGCUCGAGGGACAGCCACAGAAAAUGCUCGGUCAGCCCCUGGUAGUUGCUUAGGAGGCGUUGUGGAAGAUUGGAAAGAAAGAGGCGCUGGAGGCGAAUGUAGCUGGGCUUGAAGCCAGCCUCCACUUCAUACCAGAAGUAUGAGCCCAGACAAGUUAUUUAACUUCCUACAGUUGAGUUUACAUAGCUGUGAAAAUGGAUGAGUAAUGCCUGCUUGUGCCGUUGUUGGGGGAGCGGAGCGAGUGUGCUUGGCAGCAGGUGUGAAGUAGGAGCCUAGCGAGCCGGGAGGGUCAUCUCAUUGGUAAAAAAAAGUCACUGGCAAUGGAAUCUGAGGUCAUACUCGAGCACAGAGAGAUUGUAUCUCUCACUCAUUCUUUAUCUACAUGGUGUAUCUCUUCAUCAAAGAAAACUGAAUUGGUCCGCCAAGAUUUGAUCUUCACAUACCAUUGAGGUAAGGAAACUGAGGCUCAGGAGGUAGACACCUCCUGCAAGGUCACAUAGCUGGUGCGCAGCAGAGGUGGAACUUGAACUUCAGGUCGUUCAUGUGGACUUUCAACAGUUAUAAACGAGCCAUACCCUGGGCAACAUCACACUCUGGGAAACUUUUAAACUCCUAUGGCUCCAAACACCAUCUGGGUACAAAUGACUUCAAAAUUUGUAACUCUGCCCUCUGAGAACCAGUCCCCAUCUCCAGCUGCCUUCCUGGACAUUUCCACUUGGCCAUGAGGCCAAAAACUGUAGCUCUACGUGUAAACUCAAGUAAUCAUCUUCCUCCGGGGACCCAGAACCCCCACUCCUCCCAUCACUGCCGUGUUUCUCAGUGGCACAAUAUUCUUUCAGCCUUCUCCAGAUCUGAGUUCUGUUAAGAUCCUCCCCUGAGAUUUUUGCUCAAAAAUAGUUCUUGCUUCAUCUCCCAUUUUCUAGCUUUACCACCUUUAGCCUGUGUCGCCUGGGGCGUAGGUUAUUGCAAAAGCUACGUCUUUCCCGAGCCUCUGCAGUUUAGACACUGCUUACUCAAGUCAGUUCCUUAAAUGUAUGGCCCUCAAUUUUGUCUGUGCAUGGGAAUUACCCAGGAAUGUACAAAGUACUAUCUGAAGUUUGGGGUCUCAUCUUUCUAGCAUUACAGGGUUACUCAUAUCUCUGAGACCAGUGAUGUUGUUCUAAGGCUCUAUCCAGGAAUUAAGGGUGGGGGGUGACUCUAGCCCAACUCCUGUCUUUUGGGAACAGAUGAAGGCAAGCAGACUUGACUGCCAAUAGAGAGUCAGGUAGUGAAAUUCAGCAUCCUAGCACCCCUCUGCCCUGCCACAUCCCCAAAAUUCCCCCUGAAGGGAUCUUCUCUGUUUUCCAGCACCUUACUCAGGUGAAUGAUGCUUCUAUGAGGUCUUUGACUCCUUUGCUAAAUGGCCGUGCUUCAGCCAGUUUCACAGUUUACUUAUUUUCUGACCAGGCUUUCUCAGAAUUCUCUUGAGGAGGAGAGUUGGCUAGCAAAUCUGAUGAAUUAAUUCAGAAUAUCAUGGUCUAAUACGGUGUUUCCAAACGUAUAUUCCAUAUAACACUAGUACUAUAAGGUGCCAUCCAAGAAAAAAGGAUCCCAUGGCCCAAAAAUUUUAGCAAAUCUCUUAAAAAGCACUUUAGCAUAUUAAAGUCUCUGGGAAGGCCAUCAUUAAAAACUUCUGUUUAAUUUAGUUUAUUUGAUUACGAAGUUUUCUAAACUUACUUGACUACUGAACUGUUUUAUUUUCAAGCACCUAUUCCAACAAAACUAAAAUGCCAGGACCUUUAAGUCACAUUAUGAUUUCAGAAACAUUAAAGCAAGGGAAAAAAUGGUCAAGGAUGAUUUCAAGAUACACUGACUGUAACAUUCCAAUUUCUUGGAGACAUUAAAACAUGAAAGAAUGUGCUUCUUAGUCUUAAUUAAAUCCAGUAACUUCCUGUGAGACUAGGAUUUUGUGCAGCACCCAGUGGGGGAAUCCCAGGUCAAGAUAGCUGUGUUUUAACAGGAAUGUUCUGAGAGCUCUCCACUGUAGGAAAUGAGCAAUGUGGUAGACAGGAGGGGAGAAGGGAUACCCAGGAGCUGCCACGGGUCUCUGAAAAGGAAGGGGCAAUGUCCUCAUUGCCAGCAGUGUAAGCUCUGACUAGUCGAGGAAUAUGCUGACACAGUAUUGGAGAGAAGACAGACAGACACUGGGAGAAGGGAAAAGUGUUCAUUCUACCAGGCUUUCAAAUUUUGAGGAAAAGGCUCUGGCUUGCCUGUUGAGAGGUAUCAUGGAAGAGCAAAAGAUUUCUGUAUUCUGUAAUUAGGUGGCAGAGAACAGAUAAUAAGUGUCGAAUGUCAGCUGUGUCUAAUUUUGGCUGUGUAAACUCUACCGAGUUUCUUAACCUACCUGAACUUCGGUGUCUUAAGACAUGAAUAGAAUUACCAUAGUAAUAACAGCAGCUAUCUGAUAGAUUAUACUUGGGCAUCAUGUAAGAGCUGAUUAUGAUGGUCUAACCAUGUAAGGCUUUCUUUUCUCACACUUCUUGGGAAUUCUAGAAGUAGGUAUUGUGGGGAGAUAUAGUGACAUCAGGAGGAUAAUCUCUUCGAUCCUGCUGUGUGAUUCCUCUGUGUGAGGCUUCUGUCCUCAUCAGGGUCUCCUGGUGGUCCCAAGAUGUCUGCUCUGCCUCCCACUGAACUCUCCAUUCCAGGCAGGAAGGUGAAGUAAGGAAAGGAAGAAAGAGAAGCCCCGAAAGCUUGCCCAGAGAUCCCUCGCCAGCUUGCAGCUAGAACCCAUUGGUGAGCAUCAUUCCACACGGUCACUCUUAGCUCUGAGAGAGUUUGAGGAGGCAAGUGUUAGUGGGCCCUUUGCCACCGCGAUUAAAAUUGGGAAUCUGUCAGAGAGAAAGGAGGCAAAUGUGGACACUGGGUGAGUACCUAGGUAUUCAGUGCUGUGAGGGCUAGGAAUGAGAUAACACGCGGGUAUGUGCCCAGCUCUGUGCCUGGAAGAGAGUAGGCAUGCAACAAGUUUCUCCCAAUGCAGAAAAUGGCUGAUCUCUUCCCCCUUCUUCAGUGGGAAAAUAUGUUGUAACUUGUGGUCAUACCACCAGGUGGCAUGGAACCAGGAGGGAGCCAGAAAUUUGGCUAUGAAAGCUUUGGCCCAACACACACAGUGGAGAAGAAUGGACAGGACGUCUUGGGACAGGAAGUGCAGGUGGACACGGGUGGAUGCCGGCUUGUAACCAGGACUGCGGAGCAGUCGUCCAUACAAGGUUCUACUUCAGGGGGAGAAAAAUCUGUGUUUGGAUUAAAGUCCUUGCCUGACUCUCCCGGCUGAUGGGUCUUGUCCCCUGGGCACUCCCAGGGGGAACACUGCACAAAUCACUUGUACCACUUAAUGACCCUACACCUCUUUUAUUGUUAUUUUCAUGUGUUUACAAAACCCAGACUAUGAACUCCUUUAAGACAAGGCUUUGCGCCUUGUUUAUCUUUGCGAGGUUGCCAGGCCUAAUCUUUCCAAUGGUUCAGGACCUUUGGGAGCCUGCCAGGUCAGCCCGGAAGUGUGGAGUGGGCCUGGGGUAAAGGUAGGGCAGCACCCCUCUGGUAGACAACACCUGCCUCCAGGCACUCACUUUUAAAUAACAACCAAGCAAACAUUGGGAAACAAAGGGUUUUAUGGCAACAGCUACUAGUACUGUCAACACACACACACACACACACACACACACACACACACAUGCACCCGCUUGCACUUUAUCUUGUGCCUCCUGAUAAAGUCCACACUCGGGAGGAAUUAUUGUCAAAAAAGCAAACUCGAAUCUGAUCAAACUUCUUGCUCUAACUAGCAGUUUACAGGAAAGAAGGAGAUAGGGGAACAUGUGAAAUGUUACCACAAGAAUGCUCUCAGUGAGAUCCAGACUGUGGGAAACGCUAGUGGACCAAAGGACCCUGUUCUUUCAACAAAUCAAUUGUGAGGGGAAGAAAACAUGUGAAGGACAAACCUAUACCUUAAAAGAGACCAAUUGCCAUAUAUGCUUUAUUUGGUUCCUUAUUCAAGCAAACUAUAAAAAAAUAUUUGAGACAGUGAGAGAAAUUUGAACUGACUUGAUUAGGGAAUUAUUGUUUAAGGUGCAAUAAUGAUAUUGUGGUUCAGUUUUUGAAAGGAUCCUUAUCUUUUAGAGAUGCAUACUGACAUAAUUUAGAGAUAAAAUGAUACUAGAGAUUUGCUUCAGGAUAACACAGUCUGUAUAGAGGGGAGUGGACAAGAUGGGGGUAAGACUCACUAAAGACAAAUGGCUGUGGAAGCUGGGCAACAAGUGCAGAGAAGGUCUUUGAAUCACCUCUGAUUUUUGCUUAUGUUUGAAAUGUUCAUAAUAAUAUAAUAAGGGGAAAUCAGUGGGCCAGCCAAACCUAACCCAUGGCACAUGGAGAAGAGUUUACCAUGCAUCUGAUGGAAUUCAAGCAUGUGGACCUCUCACUACACAGGCCUCUUCCAAGAGAAUUUUGUAUUCAUGAUUUUUCUUCAAAAGGGCUCCCCUAGUUUCAGGCAUCACAAAAGUUAGAUCUACUCCUAAUGGCAGGCAGCCAGCUGACUCCCAUUUUAGGCAUUGAGUAAGUGUUCACCAGUAUAAUUUUUAAAAACACUUCUUUUUAGAUUUAUUUAUUUAUUUGAAAGAG